UACUCUAUGAAUCUAGUGGAAUCAUUUCUGCACAAACUCGACUACUGAAAUCAGUGUGCGGAAAUGCUUCUGCUACAUUUUUAGGGUCUC
ensembl:miRNA